rnacentral:rRNA from 1 species
CCCCUGUGAGGGGAGUGAAAUAGAACCUGAAACCAUGUGCCUACAAGGUGUAAGAGCGGCUUUCGAGCUGUGAUUGCGUGCCUUUUGCUUAAUGAGUCUGCGAGUCAGUAUAUGUAGCGAGCUUAACUCCUUCCGGGAGGCAGGCGUAGGGAAACCAAGUCCGAAUAGGGCGUCAAUGAGUUGCAUGUGCUGGACCCGAAACGGAGGUGACCUACCCAUGGCCAGGUUGAAGCUACAGUAAAAUGUAGUGGAGGACCGAACCGGUGAAUGUUGAAAAAUUCUCGGAUGAGCUGUGGGUCGGAGUGAAAGGCUAAUCAAACCCCGUGAUAGCUGGUUCUCCUCGAAAUGCAUUUAGGUGCAGCGUUAUGUGUUGAUGAGUGGGGGUAGAGCACUGAAAGGGCUAGGGGACAUACCCGUCUACCGACCCCUAUCAAACUCCGAAUACCAUUCAAUAGAACAUAGCAGUGCGACAGUGGGGGAUAAGCUUCAUUGUCGAAAGGGAAACAGCCCAGAUCAGCAGCUAAGGUGCCAAAAUUAUACUAAGUGGAAAGGAGGUGGGAUUUCAUAGACAGUGAGGAUGUUGGCUUAGAAGCAGCCACCAUUUAAAAAGUGCGUAAUAGCUUACUCAUCGAGAGAUCCUGCGCCGAAAAUGAUUGGCGAUAAGUAUAAUACCGAAGCUCUGGAUGUCACUAGCCCCCCGUGGUUAGUGGCGUGGUAGAGGAGCAUUGUAGCAGCAGUGAAGGAGGAUGGUGACUGAAUCUGGAGCGGCUACAAGAGAGUAUGCAGACAUGAGUAACGAUAAGGACGGUGAGAUCCCGUUCCGCCGUAAACCCGAGGUUUCCUGGGCAAUGUUAGUCAUCCCAGGGUUAGUCGGGACCUAAGUCGAGGCCGAAGGGCGUAGACGAUGGAAAGCAGGUUAAUAUUCCUGCACGUGCAAAGUGAAGGGGACGCAUAAUGAAAAGUAACUAGGUUAUUGAAUUCUGAGAUGAUACUACGGUUGAUUCGUAUUACUGGACAAAGUGCCAAGAAAAGCCAACACGAAUAAACGCACCCCGUACCGCAAACCGACACAGGUGGGUGGGUAGAGUAUACCAAGGCGCAAGAGUGAAACCUGGUCAAGGAACUCGGCAAAAUAGCUCCGUAACUUCGGGAUAAGGAGUGCCCCCGUCAGCAAUGGCUGGGGGCCGCAGUGAAAUGGCCCAACCGACUGUUUAGCAAAAACACAGCAUUGUGCUAAGAUGAAAAUCGACGUAUACGAUGUGACACGUGACCAAUGCCAAAAGAUUACGGUAAGAUGUUAGCCCAUAUUUAUAUGUGGCGAAGCUUCGAGCCCAAGUCCUGGUGAAUGUCGGCCGUAACUAUAACGGUCCUAAGGUAGCGAAAUUCCUUGUCGGGUAAGUUCCGACCUGCACGAAUCGUGCAACGAGUUGGGCGCUGUCUCGACCAGGAGCUCAGUGAAAUUGUAACGCCGGUGAAGAUGCCGGCUACCCGCAGAAGGACGGAAAGACCCUAUAGACCUUAACUGUAAGCUGCUGUCCCUUAUACAAAUCUU